CACUCUCAAAAUUUUUCAAGGAGACCCACUCACAAGUCUGUCAGUAUCAGGAUCCUCGAUGCCCCUGAAUGCUUCUUGUGAUGCAAACUACUACAUCAUGCCUCUACUGUAGCUGCUCUACCUGACACUCUGCUCUAUCUCGAUGCUCUACCUGCAUCUGCUUUGUCAGUUGCUCACACUUGAUGCUUUUCAAACUCCUCUCGACUGCUGCC
rnacentral:lncRNA from 1 species